rnacentral:rRNA from 1 species
AACGAACGCUGGCGGCGUGCCUAACACAUGCAAGUCGAACGGAAUUUGAGAGCUUGCUCUUAAAUUUAGUGGCGCACGGGUGAGUAACGCGUAGAUAAUCUGCCUGACGAUCUGGGAUAACACUUCGAAAGAGGUGCUAAUACCGGAUAAGCCCACGGAGUCUUUGGAUUCUGCGGGAAAAGGGGGGGACCUUCGGGCCUUCUGUCGUCAGAUGAGUCUGCGUACCAUUAGCUAGUUGGUAGGGUAAUGGCCUACCAAGGCGACGAUGGUUAGCUGGUCUGAGAGGAUGAUCAGCCACACUGGAACUGAGACACGGUCCAGACUCCUACGGGAGGCAGCAGUGGGGAAUUUUGGACAAUGGGCGAAAGCCUGAUCCAGCAAUGCCGCGUGAGUGAAGAAGGCCUUCGGGUUGUAAAGCUCUUUCGGACAGAACGAAAUCUCUUGCUCUAACAUAGCGAGAGUCUGACGGUACUGUAAUAAGAAGCACCGGCUAACUACGUGCCAGCCGCCGCAGUAAAAC